UCCUGCGAGUAUAUUAGUGAUGUGUUCAACUAAACAGGACCAGGUUUCACACCGGUGUUUGUGUAACAAACCUCUGCUCCGUAAGUUUCCGAUACUUCUCCCGGUCUGCAGUGCUGAGGCGAAGCAGAGGCUUCAGACCGUCUCUCAGCCACUUACAUGCUACAUAUGAGAGCUCAUUCUCCAGGGCGCUGAUGUCAGCCACAUUGACAUAGAAGAAGGGCCGAAACUCAGGCAGAGCAACGCUGACCCCAGGGAGGGAGAUGUUGGCCAGGCAACAGCAGCAGUAGACUGAGAGGAGGAGGAGGA